GUGCCUUCGGGAACUCUGAGACAGGUGCUGCAUGGCUGUCGUCAGCUCGUGUUGUGAAAUGUUGGGUUAAGUCCCGCAACGAGCGCAACCCUUAUCCUUGUUUGCCAGCACAUAAUGGUGGGAACUCCAGGGAGACUGCCGGUGAUAAACCGGAGGAAGGUGGGGACGACGUCAAGUCAUCAUGGCCCUUACGAGUAGGGCUACACACGUGCUACAAUGGCGUAUACAGAGGGCUGCCAACCAGCGAUGGUGAGCGAAUCCCAGAAAGUACGUCGUAGUCCGGAUUGGAGUCUGCAACUCGACUCCAUGAAGUCGGAAUCGCUAGUAAUCGUGAAUCAGAAUGUCACGGUGAAUACGUUCCCGGGCCUUGUACACACCGCCCGUCACACCAUGGGAGUGGGCUGCACCAGAAGUAGAUAGCUUAACCUUCGGGAGGGCGUUUACCACGGUGUGGUUCAUGACUGGGGUGAAGUCGUAACAAGGUAGCCCUAGGGGAACCUGGGGCUGGAUCACCUCCUUAC
rnacentral:rRNA from 1 species